AGAUGUGACCUUUCUAUGAGGUCUGUUAUCCUAUUGAUUGACAGCGUUGGUUUGGCUGAUCUGGCUAGUUAAGAGCCCCCCUUCUUUCCUUAUGGCUCCAUGUGUGUGUCCCUCCCCCAAAGAUGCCUGCUUGGUGGAGGAGGACAACCAUCCCAGACAGGGAGAACAUACAGUACUAUUCUUUGGUCAGAGGUAUACAGUAGCUGCCCACCCCUGCUAGAACCUCCAAACAAACUCAAUGCUCAUUUUCAUGCACUGUCAUUGUCAAGAUUCUACACAAAUAGCAUCAUGUUUAGAAAAUUGCCUCAGACAU
rnacentral:snRNA from 1 species